UACGUAGGGUGCGAGCGUUAAUCGGAAUUACUGGGCGUAAAGCGUGCGCAGGCGGUUUUGUAAGCCAGAUGUGAAAUCCCCGGGCUUAACCUGGGAAUGGCAUUUGGGACUGCAAGGCUCGAGUGCGGCAGAGGAGACUGGAAUUCCUGGUGUAGCAGUGAAAUGCGUAGAUAUCAGGAGGAACACCGAUGGCGAAGGCAGGUCUCUGGGCUGACACUGACGCUCAUGCACGAAAGCUAGGGGAGCAAACGGG
rnacentral:rRNA from 1 species